CCUUCUCAACCUCACGGGCGACUGUGAACACCAUCUCUAUCAUGACUUCAUCGCUUCCAUUCUCCGUUCCCACCCACGCCCGCUUCGAGUCCUUUGGCACCGACGUUGGCGGUGCCGACGGAGAAAGAAGAGGUGGCCAUCCUCGUUGUUGUUGCUAAGGGCCGAGGAGUCGGUGGAGGAGACGAUAAGGGUCAAAGAGGAAAAAAAAUGAGAGAAAAAAAAAGACGAACAUGAAAAAUUCGAAAAGGCGAGGAGAAAGACGAAAGCGUUAAAACAAGAGAGAGAAAGAAAAAAGAAUAUAGGGUAUUUGUAGCGUCCCGGGUAUUUGUAUCUGAGGCUUGUCGACACGCCCGGAGAGUGUCGGGACAAGUCGGAGUCGUUUUGGCAUAAAAUGGAUGCAAAACGGAUUCAACGCGAUGCAAGAGUGGAAUUCUGACACGGAAAU
rnacentral:lncRNA from 1 species